CGUUUUGUACGUGAGUACAUCAUCAUCAUGAAAUGUCGACGAAGGCAUACCUUGAGCUUGAGGGAACGAUAACACACGAAGAAGUAGACAUGACGAGGUUUCUACUUCUUCGUGUGUUAUCGUUCCCUCAAGCUCAAGGUAUGCCUUCGUCGAACCUUCACCAGCUCGCUUGCCUGCUCACCCUUAUUUCACCUUUGAAAUGUCGUUGCUGUUGGUCGUCGGGCUCGUCGGUUCGCAGUUUUCGUCUUUCAACUCUUCAAAACGGGCAAAAACGUGAAUAUUUAGAAUCUCAGUCGUCAGGCACUGUAUUAUGUACAACUGCUUGUGUUACAACUUCUGCACCAGCUCAGUCGGAAGAAACUACAAGCGAUGCGCAGGACUGCAAUUACGCCGCUUGCAGUUUGUCAUACAACUGGAGGAGACUUGCAGGAUGCUUAUGAAUCAUGCAGAACAAGGGCCAGCUACUGAAAAGAGGUAUGUGGCAUAUGAUUGUUGCAGGAAAACAUUUACGUGUACUUCUGCGAAAAGUUUCUCUACAGGUUUUCUCACUGAAACUGAAUUCCCAGUUUAUCGCUUCAAUAUGCACCACGUUUAUGUAAUUUUGUCCUCGGAUGAGGCAAGAAUGGAUCCAGUCUCAUCUGCCACGAAGUGUCCUUCAGAAUGAGGUAGGAGCAGCAGCACUUCUUACUGGCUAUCAGGCUGAUAUAAAUAUAAACUGUACUUUUUGCACGAAACAGGAUUGCAGAUACUAAAGUAGCAAUGUGGGUAGUUGGUGCUGACGGCUCAUCUCAAAGCAGCAACACAAGACAAGGACGACGAGUGAAAAAGCAAUGCGGAGAAAGGUCACUUGCGCCACUCUCACUGCACCGCCGAAUUUUAUGGCAAGUCGAGUCAUUUCCUUCCAGUUAUGCGGCUGUCAUAACGAACGCCACUUUGCCAGUGCUUAAGUUUUUUCAGUAAGCAAAGUUGCAAAGCAAAGUUCAGUAAAGUCAGUUGUGACUUGGAUAGGUGAGCAUGCGGAUCUGGCUAGUUCUAGCCGAGGGUAUUAUAGCUGUUGGCAUUUCAGUAUGGUGAACCCCUUGGCUCGGCCUCACAUAUGCAGUGCUGUUCCGUGAAACGUAGCCAGUACUCAACGUGUUCUUUGUGUGAAUUAUGGCCGUCGCACAAGAGGAAUGUUUUGAAGUAGCCUGUGUGUAUGUUUCAUAUGAAAUCAGGUUAAAACUUGGGCAGGUUGGUGUGACAUACUAAAAGCGUAUGUUUCCUGGGCGCUGAGGAGCGCGACGUUGCGGGCAACGAGCACGAGCUGUGCAAUGACUGCGACGAGCUUUAUGUGUGGUCUCAUCUUGCAUCUGACCCAAUAUGCCAUUAGGCGAAACAGAAAACUUCGUGCCACUAUUAUGUUUGAAGUGGACACUGCGACAAAAAAGGCGGCUACGCCACGGCAAAAAACUUGCAUCGAAGGAAUCAAGAAC